rnacentral:rRNA from 1 species
CACAAGGCGGAUGCCUUGGCAGCAUAAGGCGAUGAAGGACGUAAUAACCUGCGAUAAGCCUCGGGGAGCUGGUAAAUAAGCUUCGAUCCGAGGAUUUCCGAAUGGGAAAACCCAAUACACAUAAGUGUAUUAUCUUAUACUGAAUACAUAGGUAUAAGAGGCAAACCUAGGGAACUGAAACAUCUAAGUACCUAGAGGAAAAGAAAUCAACAGAGAUUCCGGUAGUAGCGGCGAGCGAAACCGGACCAGCCCUUAAGCUUAUUUUAGUCCAGCAAAAUAUUCUGGAAAGUUUAGCCAUAGCAGGUGAUAGCCCUGUAUGCGAAAGACUAAUUUAAGUGAAAUCGAGUAGGUCGGGACACGAGAAAUCUUGACUGAACAUGGGGGGACCAUCCUCCAAGGCUAAAUACUCUAUGCUGACCGAUAGUGAACCAGUACCGUGAGGGAAAGGCGAAAAGAACCCCGGCGAGGGGAGUGAAAUAGAACCUGAAACCUUGUGCUUACAAGCAGUCGGAGCAGACUUGUUCUGUGACGGCGUACCUUUUGUAUAAUGGGUCAACGACUUAAUUUCAGUAGCAAGCUUAACCAUUUAGGGUAGGCGUAGGGAAACCGAGUCUUAAUAGGGCGCUCAGUUGCUGGAAUUAGACCCGAAACCGGGUGAUCUAUCCAUGGCCAGUGUGAAGGUCGAGUAACAUCGACUGGAGGCGCGAACCCACUUAUGUUGAAAAAUGAGGGGAUGAGCUGUGGAUAGGAGUGAAAGGCUAAUCAAACCCGGAGAUAGCUGGUUCUCUUCGAAAACUAUUUAGGUAGUGCCUCGUGUAUUACUGUAGGGGGUAGAGCACUGUUUCGGCUAGGGGGUCAUCCCGACUUACCAAACCGAUGCAAACUCCGAAUACCUACAAGUAUGAGCACGGGAGACAGACUGCGGGUGCUAACGUCCGUAGUCGAGAGGGAAACAACCCAGACCGUCAGCUAAGGUCCCAAAUUAUGAUUAAGUGGGAAACAAUGUGGGAAGGCACAAACAGCUAGGAGGUUGGCUUAGAAGCAGCCAUCCUUUAAAGAAAGCGUAAUAGCUCACUAGUCGAGUCGGCCUGCGCGGAAGAUAUAACGGGGCUAAAUCAUAAACCGAAGCUACAGAUCUUAAAUUUAUUUAAGAUGGUAGAAGAGCGUUCUGUAAGCGGUUGAAGGUAAGCUGAGAGGCGAACUGGACGUAUCAGAAGUGCGAAUGUUGACAUGAGUAACGAUCAAAGAGGUGAAAAACCUCUUCGCCGAAAAACCAAGGGUUCCUGUCCAACGCUAAUCGAGGCAGGGUGAGGCGGCCCCUAAGGCGAGGGCGAAAGCCGUAGUCGAUGGGAAACAGGUUAAUAUUCCUGUACUUUUUAUAACUGCGAUGGGGUGACGGAGAAGGUUAGGCUAGCACGGCGACGGUUGUCCGUGUUCAAGGUUGUAGGCUGGUGUUUUAGGUAAAUCCGGAACACUAAGGCUGAGAACUGAUAACGACCACUCUACGAGUGGGAAGUAGUCGAUACCAUGCUUCCAGGAAAAACCUCUAAGCUUCAGGUUAUAAGAAACCGUACCCUAAACCGACACAGGUGGUUAGGUCGAGUAGACCAAGGUGUUUGAGAGAACUAUGGUGAAGGAACUAGGCAAAAUAGCACCGUAACUUCGGGAGAAGGUGCGCCGCGGUUGGUGAUGAGACUUGCUCUCUAAGCUGAACGUGGUCGAAGAUACCAGGUGGCUGCGACUGUUUACUAAAAACAUAGCACUCUGCAAACUCGUAAGAGGAAGUAUAGGGUGUGACGCCUGCCCGGUGCCGGAAGGUUAAUUGAUGGGGUUAGCUUAGGCGAAGCUCUUGAUCGAAGCCCCGGUAAACGGCGGCCGUAACUAUAACGGUCCUAAGGUAGCGAAAUUCCUUGUCGGGUAAGUUCCGACCUGCACGAAUGGCGUAACGAUGGCCACACUGUCUCCACCCGAGACUCAGUGAAAUUGAAAUCGCUGUUAAGAUGCAGUGUACCCGCGGCUAGACGGAAAGACCCCGUGAACCUUUACUAUAGCUUCACACUGGACUUUGA